rnacentral:rRNA from 1 species
CCUACGGGGGGCUGCAGUGGGGAAUAUUGGACAAUGGGGGGAACCCUGAUCCAGCCAUGCCGCGUGUGUGAAGAAGGCCCUCGGGUUGUAAAGCACUUUCAGUGAGGAAGAACGCCUGGUGGUUAAUACCCAUCAGGAAAGACAUCACUCACAGAAGAAGCACCGGCUAACUCCGUGCCAGCAGCCGCGGUAAUACGGAGGGUGCGGAGCGUUAAUCGGAAUUACUGGGCGUAAAGCGCGCGUAGGUGGCUUGAUAAGCCGGUUGUGAAAGCCCCGGGCUCAACCUGGGAACGGCAUCCGGAACUGUCAAGCUAGAGUGCAGGAGAGGAAGGUAGAAUUCCCGGUGUAGCGGUGAAAUGCGUAGAGAUCGGGAGGAAUACCAGUGGCGAAGGCGGCCUUCUGGACUGACACUGACACUGAGGUGCGAAAGCGUGGGUAGCAAACAGGAUUAGAUACCCGUGUAGUC